CUCGAAACUGGGACGCAAUUCUGGGUUCAAUUCCAGGCACCACAUUAUCAGCUCGAAACACUCUGUGUGAGCAGCGAUGAGACAGAGGCUUCUCUGCGCUCAUCAUCCAACCCUGAGGAGUACAAAAGCUGCACCAGAGGAAUGCACCAGGUCUUGAGGUUCAUGUUGAGCUGUAGAAGAAACUGUCACCAUGCUGUAACCAUUGAAGAGGAGAGGAGCGAUUUUACACAUAUUCACUUUCUGUCGGAGAGAAACAUCAGUAAAA